rnacentral:rRNA from 1 species
CUACGGGUCGCUGCAGUGAGGAAUAUUGCACAAUGGGGGGAACCCUGAUGCAGCAACGCCGCGUGGAGGAUGACGCAUUUCGGUGUGUAAACUCCUUUUAUAUGUCAAGAAAAUGACGGUAGCAUAUGAAUAAGCACCGGCUAACUCCGUGCCAGCAGCCGCGGUAAUACGGAGGGUGCAAGCGUUACUCGGAAUCACUGGGCGUAAAGGACGCGUAGGCGGGUUGGAAAGUCAGGUGUGAAAUCCUACAGCUUAACUGUAGAACCGCACUUGAAACUUCUAAUCUAGAGUAUGGGAGGGGGAGAUGGAAUUAGUGGUGUAGGGGUAAAAUCCGUAGAUAUCACGAGGAAUACCUAAAGCGAAGGCGAUCUCCUGGAACAUUACUGACGCUAAGGCGUGAAAGCGUGGGGAGCAAACAGGAUUAGAUACCCUAGUAGUC